rnacentral:rRNA from 1 species
AUUGAACGCUGGCGGCAGGCCUAACACAUGCAAGUCGAGCGCGCGGCGGGAGCGUGUGUAAUGUCUGGGAAACCGCCUGAAGGAGGGGGAUAACGAUUGGAAACGGUAGCUAUUAUCGCACACAAUCUGAUGUGCCCCGAUGGGGUUAGCUAGAGGGUGGGGUAAAGGCUCACCUAGGCGACGAUCCCUAGCGGGUCUGAGAGGGUGACCAGCCACACUGGAACUGAGACACGGCCCAGACUCCUACGGGAGGCAGCAGUGGGGAAUAUUGGACAAUGGGCGCAAGCCUGAUGCAGCCAUGCCGCGUGUGUGAAGAAGGCCUUCGGGUUGUAAAGCACUUUCGGCAGGGAAGCGUUACCCGCAGAAGAAGCACCGGCUAACUACGUGCCAGCAGCCGCGGUAAUUC